GGGAGAGUUUCUUGGAUGUGGCUUCUCAGACAGAAACAUGGUCCAUGAGAAUUUUAGUUGACACGUGUCAAAAGAAGGAUGGUUCUUUAGUUUGCUUAACUGACAAAUUAUAUCAAGACAGGACAAUCAAAGAACACCAAGAAUUAGGUAUUCUAUUUCCAUAGGAUUUUGUUUCUUUUAAUUGUCUUUUCUUUUUUUUGCACAAUUAACAAAAUAAAUCAAACUCUCCAGUGGUCGUUAAUGGCAAAGAAAAAAAGGACAGUGUGAUAUAGCGGUUGGCAUGUUAGAUGGAAUCUUUGUAUGAGGUCCAAUACAACAUGUUUUGCCAAGAGAAAUCCAACAAUCUAAAAUUUAAUGGGGAUGGCUUUCAGGCUUGAAAUUUGUCUGUUCAGAGCUUUGCUUUUUCCUACGUGUUUGUGAGGAAACUUGUACUGCUUGUUUAGUUACGUCUAUCAGCCAUGCCUGCUGGGAUAUCUUAGAACUGCCUCUUUCCAGAAAAGUUUCAUUUUACCCUUUUUCAUGUAUAGCUUUUUUAAUUUCCUUCUUCACUGCAAUUUUGAUUCUAGGCACUUAUUUGGUGGUCGAAUGGAAAACUCUUGUUUCAGUUGAAUAUAUGCGAGUUGAGUUCAGCAACUUGCUGCUCUUGGCCUUUGAUGAAUGCUUCAGUCGUAGCAUUAAUGGAAUUGGUACCAGAAAGACUAUAAUUUUGGGCCAAGCUUUUAAUUGUUUCCAGCAUGCAGAAGUGUAGUUUUCAUUAAUAGUUUCAGCUACUAUUUGCAAUAGACAAGUUAUAUGGAUGUUUGAUUACUUAUCAGGAAACCAAAAAUGUGGGCUCCCUCCUAUUCUUAGUAUAGGAUAACUACCCUUUCAGUACUUGGGGAUAUGGCAUUGUGCUUUCCCAUAUGGAAGUCACUUGCCCCACCAAAUUUCCACCUUUGCAUCAAAAAGCAAAACAAGGGUCUAGCAGUUAGAUUUUUGUCAUUUCGCCAUUUUCCCAGUGGGAUGCUCUGCUCACUAAUAGUUGAUGGUUAUCCCCCAGGAUCCCCACGAUUCCUUAUCUUUUGUGCAGCGCACAUAACUCAAUAUGUAUUGGAUGAAUUGGCAAAAUCCUGUCCUCAAGAGCUACUUUUAUAGCUCAAAUCCUCAUUUAAAGAAGCAU
rnacentral:lncRNA from 1 species